AACGAACGCUGGCGGCAGGCUUAACACAUGCAAGUCGAGCGCCCCGCAAGGGGAGCGGCAGACGGGUGAGUAACGAGUGGGAGCGUAGCUAUUGGUUCGGCACAACUCCGGGAAACGGGGGCUAAUACGGGAGAAGACCUAACGGGGAAAGAUUUAUCGCCGAAAGAUCGGAGCGCGUCUGAUUAGCAAGUUGGUGAGGUAAAGGCUCACCAAGGCGAGGAUCAGUAGAGCGGCUGAGAGGCUGAUCAGCGACACGUGCAGUGAGACACGGCACAGACUAUUACGCGAGGCGGCAGUGGGUGAUACUGGCCUAUGGGCUCAGGCCUGAUCCAGUUAGGCCGCGUGAGUGAUUAUGGCCUGAGAGUAGUAAAGCUCUUUUGUCCGGGACGAUAAUGACGGUACCGGAAGAAUAAGCCCCGGCUAACUUCGUG
rnacentral:rRNA from 1 species